rnacentral:lncRNA from 1 species
GGGGUUUGAGAAAAAGGCAGAAAAUGGACUGAGAGUUCUGUGAUAGUGGCCGUGAGGACUGGAGUGAGACUCCACAGCAGCCUUGCACAGAGACAGAGUAGGGCGAAGAGCUGGAGCAGGAACCCUGGGAGCUGUUUCCCUGGGACCUCAGGAGCAGUGGGGAUGUGUUCUCAGAGGRCCUCCUGUGUCCAACUAUCAUUACAUGGAAAAGUGCUUUUACAGAACAGCUGAAGAGCAACUCCUUUAUCCAUCAGGACCCUCUGGGGCAGGAUUAAUAAAAUCCUUGAUAARUUGGUCAAGAGGAUGACGGGAAGGAGGAGUCUCCCUUGAAGUCCUUUAGUUGUUCAGAAUCUGUGGAAUAGUGAUCUAACAGACCUCACUCAUGACUUCAUGUUCAGGUCCCCAGCGGAUACACAAGGGAAGUGGGAACAGAAGAAACGUGUGUUGCUGCAAUGGUGARUAGCCCCACAAGAGUCCCAUGGUCUUCCAGAAGCAACAGCUGUUUUACUCUGGCAUGGGUAGACCUGGUCUGCUUUUGUUUAGCGAUCUUUGUCUUCAAAAACAGCGUGAGGUAAAUGAAUGCCAUGAUGUAGGAAGAAUAGCUGGACUAUGUGCUACAGGAAUUCAGAAGCAAGGAUAA